GGCCAACAGAUCGCCAGAUCGUUGAGCUGCAUUGGCGGGAUUUCGCCGUCUUCGUUUCUCUUUCUUCGCGGACGAACACGCGCUGGGCCUGCAACGGCAGGAUCCAGGGUCCUUAACGGGAUGUGCGUUAGGGGCUUGUAGCUCAGUUGGUUAGAGCGCGCGCUUGAUAAGCGUGAGGUCGGAAGUUCAAGUCUUCCCAGGCCCACCACUUUCAUCGAGUGAGCAUUCGUCUUCUGGUUACGGGGCCAUAGCUCAGCUGGGAGAGCGCGUGCUUUGCAAGCAUGAGGUCGUCGGUUCGAUCCCGUCUGGCUCCACCAGAUGGUUUGAUCACCGAGAUCUUGACCGUCGUCCGCGAAACAUCACUUCGCAUCCUGCUAGUCUGGAUAGACAGCAGUUUGCGUGUUUUCUGACAUCGUAAAGAGGAGAUCGAUCCGAGUUGGGUCGUGCAGCAUAUCGUUGCGCGAGCCUUCAUUAUCUCCGGAUCAUUUCGGCGCUCGCUUCCAGCCGUGAGGUUGGAUGCGGGUUGUAAAUGAUCCUUUUAGCGAAGCUUGACCGCCUCGCUAUCGGAACGAUCUUACGAAGCAAGCUGGUCUUUCUAGUCAAUGUCCGGCUGCGGAUAGCGUUCAUCGAGGGCGCGUGCCGCAAGGCAAUUCUGCAGACAACAUUCUGCCGAGUGUGUGGACAUUGAUAAUGAGAGCAAUCAAGUGCCUUAAGGGUGUUCGGUGGAUGCCUUGGCGCUGAGAGGCGAUGAAGGACGUGCUACGCUGCGAUAAGCCGUGGGGAG
rnacentral:misc_RNA from 1 species